GACCAGACUCCUACGGGAGGCAGCAGUGGGGGAUAUUGCACAAUGGGGGAAACCCUGAUGCAGCGACGCCGCGUGAGUGAGGAAGUAAUUCGUUACGUAAAGCUCUAUCAGCAGGGAAGAAAAUGACGGUACCUGACUAAGAAGCCCCGGCUAACUACGUGCCAGCAGCCGCGGUAAUACGUAGGGGGCAAGCGUUAUCCGGAAUUACUGGGUGUAAAGGGAGCGCAGGCGGCACGGCAAGUCUGGUGUGAAAACCCGGGGCUCAACCCCGGGACUGCAUUGGAAACUGCCGGGCUGGAGUGUCGGAGGGGUAAGCGGAAUUCCUAGUGUAGCGGUGAAAUGCGUAGAUAUUAGGAGGAACACCAGUGGCGAAGGCGGCUUACUGGACGAUGACUGACGCUGAGGCUCGAAAGCGUGGGGAGCAAACAGGAUUAGAUACCCCAGUACUC
rnacentral:rRNA from 1 species